GACGAACGCUGGCGGCGUGCCUAAUACAUGCAAGUCGAACGCAGUGGGGACGGGUGAGUAACACGUGGGUAACCUCCCAUCAGAGGGGAUAACACUUGGAAACAGGUGCUAAACCGAUACUGAUGGAUGGACCCGCGGUGCAUUAGCUAGUAGGUGGGGUAACGGCUCACCUAGGCGCCGAUCUAUAGCUGGUCUGAGAGGAUGAUCAUCCACACUGGGACUGAGACAGGGCCCAGAAUCCUACGGGAGGCAGCAGUGGGGAAUAUUGGACAAUGGGCGGAAGCCUGAUGCAGCCAUGCCGCGUGGAUGAAGAAGGCCUUAGGGGUGUAAAGUACUUUCAGCGGGGAGGCGUUACCCGCAGAAGAAGCACCGGCUAACUCCGGGCCAGCAGCCGCGGUAAUAC
rnacentral:rRNA from 1 species